AUUGAACGCUGGCGGCAGGCCUAACACAUGCAAGUCGAACGAGUGGCGGACGGGUGAGUAAUGUCUGGGAAACUGCCUGAUGGAGGGGGAUAACUACUGGAAACGGUAGCUAAUACCGCAUACCAUCGGAUGUGCCCAGAUGGGAUUCGCUAGUUGGUGGGGUAAAGGCUCACCUGGGCGACGAUCCCUAGCUGGUCUGAGAGGAGUACCAGCCACACUGGAACUGAGACACGGGCCAGACUCCGACGGGAGGCAGCAGUGGGGAAUAUUGCACAAUGGGCGCAAGCCUGAUGCAGCCAUGCCGCGUGUAUGAAGAAGGCCUUCGGGUUGUAAAGUACUUUCAGCGGGGAGGCGUUACCCGCAGAAGAAGCACCGGCUAACUCCGUGCCAGCAGCCGCGGUAAUAC
rnacentral:rRNA from 1 species